UACGAAGGGGGCGAGCGUUGUUCGGAUUUACUGGGCGUAAAGGGCGCGCAGGCGGCCAUUCAAGUCAGGCGUGAAAGCCCCGGGCUCAACCUGGGAAUGGCAAUGGAUACUGGCAGGCUAGAGUGCGGUAGAGGGUAGUGGAAUUCCCGGUGUAGCGGUGAAAUGCGUAGAGAUCGGGAGGAACACCAGUGGCGAAGGCGGCUACCUGGACCAGCACUGACACUGAGGCACGAAAGCGUGGGGAGCAAACAGG
rnacentral:rRNA from 1 species